AUGGUCUCGACGCCGGAGGCUCUCCUCUUGGUCGGCUGCUGCCCCCACGGAUGCGAGCUCCCGCCGCUCCUUCUUUUCUGCCCCACGGGCUCGCCGCCGGCCGCUCUCCCUUCGUCGGUUGCUGCUCUGUACGCCCAUAGCCGUAAUUGCGGAACGCGCCACCGAUUCUCUGCGCUGGAAGAUCAGGGGAAGGCUCUCCUCUGCAUCGGAUCUGGCAUCCUGAGCCUUCCAACGAUCGGAUCCGGUGAGAUUUUCCACCUCCUGCUGCCGUCCAUGUGUAGCUCGUCGACUUCACCCAAGAUGGCCACCAGGACGAGUCGACGACCUCUGCCUCAUAGUUGUCUUCCCCGAGAGCUGACGCUGUCUCCAUGCUGCACGAGGUGA
rnacentral:rRNA from 1 species